AGUUUGUACAGGCGGUUGGCGCGGUAUCCGGAUUCGGCUGGUUCCGCUGGCGUGACGUGCUCUGGUGCUAGGCCAUGGAGUUAAAAAGAGCACAGGAGUCAAAAUCUCUACCUCCGUGGAUAGGCCAUGAGGCUCACUCCCCAAUCACCCUCUUCGCGGACAGUACACAAACCCUCAAGGUUGACGUUGUGUACAGCUGGAAGACAAGUACAGACUUGAAGGGGAAGAAGAGCUGGACUUGGAAACUCGCAGUAGCGCCAGUCCGAGCUCCCAGUCCACAACGCAACAGGACAUGGAUAUCACAAAAGCAACGUUACCAGUGGUGACAACACCUUACAAGCUGAGCCACGCUCUGUCCUGAAAACAGCUACAAAAUGCUUUCUUUCUUUUGGACUACACCGCGAAAGCUUGCUGGAUCACCCAGCUGGAAUCAUCAACGUAGCAGAAGCACCAGUAAUUGGAACCACGCUCCUACGCCAGAACAAGAGGCAGAGAUGGAAUUCCGAAAAGCUUUCCUGUCCAAAUGGUGACCUUGGUCAAGCCAAGUGAAAAGAGGGCACGGGAAACAUGAUGGAUUUGAUGGGUAAAGCUAUUUGCUGCUAGUAAUGCAGUGAAAGGCCCUGAGGAAGUGGUGGACCUGAAAGAACCUUUGACAACGGCCAUGGCAGCAUCAACACACCUCGGGUUGGAACAUUAAUGUACACAUGUACAAAGACCUGUUAUCCAAUAUACAUGUAGCCCUCAUGAUAUUGACUGAGACUGCAACUUCACAAUAGAAAUGUUGAAUUUUAUUGAUAAUGUCAACAAUACUGUAUGACAGCUCUAUGGUAUGGCAUUGUAACUGUUGUUAUAAGAACCGUGCAAUAGGUGAGGCAGAAAGUCACAUUUUAUUAGUUAUUUAAAUUGGUGAUUCAAUAUGAUCAUGGCCUACCAAGUUCUGUACAGAAAUUUUGAGCCUGAAUUGUUUCUGAAUUGUGUGAUAUAAUCAUCCUUAGGUCAGUUGUAAUAAAGUUGAUCACUA